GGAGGGCAAGAGCGUCGACGAGAACUUUUUCCUGAGGUCAUAUGACAGCACUGCAGUAUGAGGAAGAAGAAAAGCACAGUUGAUUCCAUGGUUUGCUGAGAUGUGCUUUUUACAGUGGGGAUUAAUCUGAAUUAUCUGAGAAUGCUUACUGGAGGUUUAUAUAAGCUGAAGUGAAUGUUUCAAGAAAUUAACUGAUGCUGCAUUCUUCUGUAGAUUCUGACAAUAAAUUUAUACCUAAUAAUUCA